UACAAUGUACUAAAUGUGCAGACUUCAUACGUACCGGGAAGUGUGUGUUCGAUGUAAGUUUUUCUUUGAAUGGACCUUUGUGUGUCCUUAUGAAUUGUUUCCAUGCGUUGCAGAUUAGAAUAAUGAAUAAUAUAGUGUAACAGGGAUAAAAUUUAGGAAACAAACUUUUGCAUAGAGAUAAAGGUCCAGAAUUAUUACAAGCCUAGCAUGCCUUGCAUGUCUUGGUACUCUACCGGAUCUUUCCUCAACGAAUCGAAGACAGUGAUGUGGCUUCUUUCAGGCUCAAUUAUAAUGAGGAUCCAGUGGAAGCUGCGUCCGUAAAAUAUUCAUGCAUAUUAUAGCUAACUAACAUUAAUCAGGUAAGGAAAAAGAAAAUAAAAGUAGACGGUAUACACACAAUUUUUGGUGAUCAUCUAUCAUGCGCUGCAACUUUGCUGCUUCCUUCUUAGUUUUGCAAUCUUUGUGUGCAUCUCGUAGCACCUGACCAAGGUCAUCAGUAGGGCUAUUUUCUGCAAACUCAUCUUCAUCAACCUCGCUCAUUGUAGUAUCUGCAAAAGCUUGGCCUGCAACCCAGUCUGGAAUGUUCUCAUCAUCCUCCUCCUCUUCUCCGUAUUCCAUUACAACCCCUCUUUCACC
rnacentral:lncRNA from 1 species